CCGAGUGCUAUAACUCAUAACCCUUUGUGAACCUUUAUACCUGUUGCUUCGGCGGCGCGCCUCCCGGGGCGUGCCCGCCGGUAUCAUCAGAAUCUCUGUUCGAACCCGACGAUAUUUCUGAGUGUUCUAAGCGAACUGUUAAAACUUUCAACAACGGAUCUCUUGGCUCCAGCAUCGAUGAAGAACGCAGCGAAACGCGAUAUGUAAUGUGAAUUGCAGAAUUCAGUGAAUCAUCGAAUCUUUGAACGCACAUGGCGCCUUCCAGUAUCCUGGGAGGCAUGCCUGUCCGAGCGUCGUUUCAACCCUCGAGCCCCCGUGGCCCGGCGUUGGGGAUCUGCCCAGGCAGUCCCCGAAAACCAGUGGCGGACCCGUUACAGGCCCUUCCCUUGCGUAGUAGCAUUCGCCUCGCAUCGGGAGCCGGCGGGCUUCCAGCCUCUAAACCCCCAUCAAGUCCGCCCCGGCGGCACCAAGGUUGACC
rnacentral:misc_RNA from 1 species